UACGUAGGGUGCGAGCGUUAAUCGGAAUUACUGGGCGUAAAGCGUGCGCAGGCGGUUCGUCGUGUCCGAUGUGAAAGCCCCGGGCUCAACCUGGGAAUGGCAUUGGAAACUGGCGGGCUUGAGUGUGGCAGAGGGGGGUGGAAUUCCGCGUGUAGCAGUGAAAUGCGUAGAGAUGCGGAGGAACACCGAUGGCGAAGGCAGCCCCCUGGGCUAACACUGACGCUCAUGCACGAAAGCGUGGGGAGCAAACAGG
rnacentral:rRNA from 1 species